UUAUGGAUUACCACCACCCUAAGCAUUCCCAGUUUUUCUGGUGUUGGAAGCUAAGCAGGUGGGGUCUAGUUAGUAUGUGGAUGGGAGACCACCAUGAAAUACCAGGGAUCUCUGGG
rnacentral:rRNA from 1 species